CCACGGAGAAGAGAUCAUGUGAGGACACACCAAGAAGGUGGCCGUCAGCCAGCCAGGAAGAGGGCUCUCACCAGCAACCAGCUCUGCUGGCACCCUGAUCUUGGACUUCCAGCCUCCAGGACUAACACGCAAGAGAGGAACCUUAUCACUGGGGGCAGCAAUCAGACCACUUGAGUACAAGGCAGAUUGGCCUCGGGGGCCAGCAUUUACCAGAGCUGUCUGGGGACAUCAGCUCCUAGGACCUGGAGCCCUUGAGACCUUGUGACUGAGGACAGCUGAGCUCAGCCACAGGCCCUCCCCACUGGCAGAUUCGGGGCCCUUGGUGCCUGCAAGAUCAUUGCCUCAGCUAUCUGAAGUGAGCGCCGGGAUCAUUCCAGACAACCCAGGUUCCAUGUCGGCCAUCUCUCAGGUGCUGACCCGGGUGCUGGGGACAGCAGCGUGAGGAAGAGACAGACCUCUCUGCCAAAGGCAACUUAUGUGACAAGUGUUUUCAUGGAGAUGUGGCCCGGAGACAUGGAAAAUGAGGGAAGGCCUCGUCUGGGGCCAAGCUGGGGUGUGGGGCUGGAGUGGCUUCUGUUAUGUGGGGUUACAGAAGGCAGGGACUCUGGACAGGAGGCACAGCUUUCUGCCAUGCUGAGGAAGAGUGAGAAGGGCAUUCUGGGCAGAAGAGAGAACGCAACAGAAGCAUCUCCUCUCUCGGGAGGUCAUUGCCAGUCACGGUAGGGAAGGAAGGAUAAUGGGGUAGGGGCUGAAAUGUAGUUCAGGAGAACCCUUCCCUAUGUCCCUAAUUGGAGCAUGAAAAUCCAAUCCCUUAAACAUUGAGCAGAGACAUGGCUGGCUCAGGAAGGCUGCACCGGCACCCCAUGAAGUGUCGGGCAAGCGUCAGGCAGAACUACAGAGGAUGAGAAUCUCUCAAUUGACAGGUGCAUCCCCGAAGGCCCCCCACAAGUAAGGAACCAGAUUGUCAACACAAUAGCUCUAACUGCGGACCUCUCGACAAUUAGACAGAUAGGCAGAAGACCAUCUAUGGGUCUUAGAAGAAUGGCAGAGACAGGACGUGUGGAGGAUCAGGUCAUACCUGGGGAAUGGGGUUUUGCCCCUACUUAGCCCCUCUGGUCCUACAGGCUCUGCAAGGAGCCGGCUGCAGCCACAGACAUGCCAGGCAGUGGGAGGAGCUGGUGCCCUCACCAUCCCCAAAGCGGGUCUGAUUAUUAAAACUCAUACAUCACGCUUUGAAGCAAAUACCCGGCAUGGGGGAAUUGGAAUCCUUCAGUGUGGACUAGAUCCAUCACCUUCUAAAUCAGGUACAUCAGCCCGUGAAUCAAACACAUCACCUCUAGAUUCGAUGGGCUCCCAGUCGGAUUAGAUGCAUCACCUAUUGAAUCAAAUGCAACUCUGAUUGAAUCAGAAACUGCACCUCACCUAGUAAAUCAUCUAAAUAUUACCCACAUUACAAGUUUGGAAUGGCUGCCUCACCAAUACGUUUUAACAGACGACAUGUUAAAGCUGCUAUAACAUUUAAACAAUUACCCACAGAAACGAACUCAAUACAUCACUCGGGCUGGCCGAUCAACGUUUUGAACGGGAGAA